GGUGGAUAUUUUCCCAGCCCCAGGAGCGCGGCUGGUGCGCCUUCGCAGCAGCCUUGAAGCGCAUUGCUGGCCAAGGAGCAGCCGGACGCGAUGAGGACCGAGGCCGGCGUUUGGCUCCUCGGGUUGUGCUACCUGGUCGCGGCGUUAGCGGAGGAAGCCGAGAUCCCCCAAGAGGUGAUUGAGAGGCUGGCCCACAGCGAAAUCCACAGCAUCCGUGACUUGCAGCGCCUCCUGGAGAUUGACUCCGUAGGAUACGACGAUGCCUCAGAAGCAAACUUGAUACCGCAUGGUGUUCACUCUGCAAAACACGCGGAAGAUAAUCACCCCAGGCCCAUUCGUAGGAAAAGAAGCAUAGAGGAAGCCAUUCCUGCUGUCUGCAAAACCCGAACCGUCAUCUACGAGAUACCUCGGAGUCAAAUUGAUCCCACAUCGGCAAACUUUCUGAUCUGGCCACCGUGCGUGGAGGUGAAACGCUGCACGGGCUGUUGCAAUACCAGCAGUGUGAAAUGCCAGCCAUCGCGGAUACAUCACAGAAGCGUCAAGGUGGCAAAAGUGGAAUACGUUAGAAAAAAGCCAAAAUUAAAAGAAGUCCUGGUGAAGCUAGAAGAGCAUAUGGAGUGCACCUGUACAUCAUCAAGUUCUAAUUCAGAUUAUCGAGAAGAAGAAACGGGAAGGCCUAGGGGAACAGUUAAGAAACGGAAACGAAAAAAAUUAAAACCAUCAUAAAUAUAUAUAUAUAUAUGUAUAUAUACACACACACUACUCUCAGGACAAUUUGAUGACCAGAUGUAAGGUGAAAAUAAGCUAGAAAAUACUUCUCUCUGGGACAUGGAUGUACAUUGUUGGUUACAUUCCUGAACCUACUAUGUAUGGUGCUUUAUUGACUGUAUACUUCGUUUUUGUUCUCCUACAUGGAGGGGUGGGGUGGGGAAACAGGCUUAAAAAAAAGGAUGCUUCAUGAGAACAAAAGAGACAAUGUACAUUUGUUUAAUAUGACAUCAAAGCAAGCGUUGUAGCACUCUGCGAAAACAAUACAAGGUUUCCCUGUCUAAAAAAAAAAGAGAGAGAGAAAAGAUGACCUGAAUGGAGGAUGCCAAAAGUACUUCGAAAACAUGACAAAGAACUAAAGUGAAGGGCGGAUUUCCUCUUAGAAGAACAGUCAAUGGUGCUUUUCCACCCUCUCUCCCUGUUUGUUUUUGUCAAGAAAUGUGCCUGCAUUCUUGACGAAGAUGGAUGGACGCUGAUGGAGUUUAGGCACACACACACACACAAAAGAAAAAAAAAACAGGAAUGUAUCAAAUACCACAGCAGAAACUAUAGAAACAGUGCGGUUUUGCUUGGUGGUGUUUUAAAGUCUAUACAAAAAAAAAAAAUCUUCUGGGGCGCCUUAAGUGGAUUUUUUUUUACACCAUAAAAGUUAUUAUUAAGCUUUCUUUUUACUCUUUUGCCUAGCUUUUUAUUAUCUCUUGGGACUACAUUACCAAUAACCCAUAUAGAAGACCUGCUGUAGUGAUGAGAUGGGACACACAAACAAGUAUGGGAUUUCUCCUAGCGGGAUGCAGAACUAAUGAGAUGUAUUGAAAUAAAAAUGGUAUACCUAUGCAUAAUUUUCUAAAUGUUUCUUGGUUUAUGUCCCUCUCUCUCUUCCUUCCCUUCCCAUGUUCAUCUCGUCUCACUCGUAAAUUUAAAACAGUGGUUUUCAAAGUCUGUUCUGAGAUGCCACAUGUGCUUUUCGAGGGGUACCUCAACAAGAAGAACAGUCACGGUAGAUAAGCUUUUCCUGGCUGGCCAUUGUUACUGAUCUCGCCUUAUGGGGAACGGGGAAGGGAAUCAGUUGGGGGGUGGGGAGUUAGGAUAUGUUCUAGUAGACAUGGAACACCAGGAAGGCCUAACUAUCAACUGGGGGCCUGAAAGAAUUAUAGUGUGCCUCGAAUGUACACCAGAAUCCUUUUCAAACAUGCAAGCAUUUUGUGGCAGAUGUACAAUGAUACCUCAGCAGAUAGGUCAAUGUGGAAAAGUUUUCCUGAGGGUAAGAAGUUUUGAAAGUCACUGUUUUAAAACCUUCGAAAGGACAGCUGAUGUGCAUAAGCAAGCUUAGGCUAUAUGCAAGCAUUUGGAAAAAAAAUCUUGUUCCUUGGGGGGGGGGGAAGGACUUCUACCAGUUGCCCCCAUGCAAUUUUGUGGUAGCAAUUGCUAUUCCUAUCAAUAGACAAGAUCCCUAUUUGCUAUUUCACAUGUUUAAGCUGUGUGAGAUGUACAAACUCUUCUUGUUAUUCGUAUUGUAUGAUGUCACUGUGGCGUGGGGAUGACCCUGCCGGAAAGCCUAAAAUUCUUUAUUUUUGGUAUUAAAAAAAGUUAUGCUUUAUGUGUAUUCAACAGAAAUAAGUGUUUUUUGUAAAGGUGAUGUUUGUAUUUUUUAUCUAAAAUUAAUGGUUUUAUAUAUUGGGGAAAGCCUGCUAUGUUUUCUUGCACCAAAAAAAAAAGUUGGGCUGGGGAAUGCAUUUUAUGGACAUAUUUUUCUAGUAGUUAUAGCCCUUAUAAUUUCUGGAUUUACUUAAUUAUAGCAGGGCAGUUCAAACUACUCAGGCUUCAUCUCCUAUAUUUUCAAAGGACAAAGGAUGUUCAUUUUACGCUCAGUUCAAAAUUCUGUAGAGCACCUGGGAGCUUGGCAUAAACCAGCAAUUGUCCAGUUAACAGAUGGGGACAGGGAAUCCCUGCAUGUGAAUGGGAACAGAAUCAGCUCUCGACCACACAAAGUUCUAGGGUGGGUUAGAACACCCAGAUUUGGAUUUAAAUACUCCUGUCUGACCUGGUUUAAAUCUCUUGUCAGCGGCUUUUGAAAAUACAGGACUCUGCAAAACAUUUUAGGGUCGCCCUGUUGGCUAACUUGCAUUCUUCAAGAAACAUUCAUUCUAUGACUCAGAUUAUAAUAUGAGAAAGCAAAGAAAGGAAGAUAUCUCAGAUCAAAGGAAACCCAGAAGGUAUAUUAUAAAUUAGUAACCAAUCGUUUAUAAUAUAAGGGAUUGCACAAGAUUCCUGAUAAUAGUCAUGGCACAAAAUGUUCCUUUGGAACAGUCUGAUGGAUUUCUGCCAAAAAAACAGUGCCUAAAAUUCACAGAAUGUAUACAGACUGAACUGAAUGAUAAAGACUGGACAUCGUACAGUGUUGGUCUUGCUGCUAUUGAGAUCAGACUGUUAUUUGGCGGGAAUUAAAAUCAAGCCAGAGUUUUUCGUAUGGGCAUUUCUGUAAUUUUGUACUGUAACUAUUCUCAGCAUUCUUGUGUAUUCAAUUAGUUCCUUUAUAUAAUUUUUUAAAAAUCUGGACUCUUCUCCAUUUGUGUUUCAGCUGAACUUGGUUUUCUUUGCUGGUUCUGUAGCUUACAAAACAGCCAUUCAGGGAUGGUUCCCAGUUUCCCAUAUUACAAUGUGUGCGUCAUCAGGACUGACUUAAAAUAAGUGUUGUUUACAAAGCAUUAUGCUUAUGAUCUGAAAGGGCAUAUGGUUUCAUUUCCUAUGUUAUGAAUUUAUCUCAAACAAUUGCUCCUAUGUUUCGCUCCUGUGUCUAAACAACACGGGCUGCGAGCUCUCGGGUUGGAUCAUGAUAAUGGCUCAUUCCUUCAAAUAGCCAAUCAUGGGAACCCGUAGAUAUUACAUAAUGUUCUUAAUCAUGAGUGUAAUGUGAGCACCAGUGUAGGAAUGCCGGUAUGCUGGUCUUUCUCCCAUUGACUAACAUUUAUGUUAUGCUUCCAAAUGGAAGAGUGAGUCUUUGACCUCGUCCCAAAAUGUAUAUUCUGGAUGAACCCAAAUACUAGGUCAAAAAAGGGCCACAUUCUGCAAUUCAAAUAAAAGCUAGUUUGAUAGAAUCUUGCUUGGCAUCAGUGAUUCUGCCAUGGUUUUGGUUAUGGCAAGUGCUGAAUGGCUCCCAACUAUUAGAAAUGUUGGUUCAACCCAUAUGACUUCAGGUUUACCUCCACAACCAUGAAAAUCUAGAAACUUUGUUUCUAAAGAAAAGUGAGAGUUCCGUUAUCUUAGCUCAACAAACAUGCGCCAGAUUAAAAUUUUAUUACCGUAGACCCAAAGAAGUGGCAUGUCCCUUCUGGGAGCGCUUGAACCUUUUAAACUCAUGAUGUGGGAAGUAGCCCGUGGCAAAUUAGGAUAACAAGGGAGUUUGGGAGAAAUGUCGUUCUGCUUGAGGUGUCUGUAUUAUAUUGGUUGGAUAAAGCUACUGAGUUAUUUACAAAAUGAUUUCCAAAGAAACCUCUCCCCCCCACACACACACCUCAUAAGAAUAGAUAGAAGAUCUUGUAAUAAAGAUUCCAUUCCUGUUUCGAACCUUUGUGUUCAAAUGUGGACGUGGGUAUGCUUUUAUGUGUCCAAUGUUGAAUGGUCCGUCUAAUUUUCAAAACUAAAACCUACAUCAAAGAAAGAAAAAUAGUUUUCACUUUGAUGUCAAUGUGGCUAUCUUCAGGUUGAUUUUCAACUUGGUCCCAGUUUUAAUGGAUACAGUUAUUAUUACCCCUUACACUCUCUCUCCCUCUCUCUCUUUGCAUAUGGACAUCCUAAUUUUUUGCUUUUCCACUCCUUCUCACCUGCGCAAUUUGACUUAAAUAAAGGGAGCUGAAUGAGAAGUUUUUGUGGCUUGGUAUGCUAAAACUUCAAAGCUACAAUCCUGUUCAUUGUAUUACAAAAAACACAAUGCCCAAGCUGGAAAAAAAAACUUUUAACUAAAAGUGUCUGUGCUUGUGUUCCACCAAAUGUACAAUUUUACAAUGUUAUGCACAUGAAUGUAUGUGUCUACGUGAAAACAGAAAAGUGUAUCAAAUGUAAUUUAUAUAUUUUAUGUUUGAAUGGGGUGGCAAUCGUGUGGCUUUGAUCUUGACUUUCAUUCCCCCCUUCUAA